UACGUAGGGUGCAAGCGUUGUCCGGAAUUAUUGGGCGUAAAGAGCUCGUAGGCGGUUUGUUGCGUCGGCUGUGAAAUCCCGAGGCUCAACCUGGGAACUGCAUUCGAUACUGGACGGCUAGAGUAUGAGAGAGGGAGGUAGAAUUCCACGUGUAGCGGUGAAAUGCGUAGAUAUGUGGAGGAAUACCGGUGGCGAAGGCGGCCUCCUGGUUCAAUACUGACGCUGAGGUGCGAAAGCGUGGGGAGCAAACAGG
rnacentral:rRNA from 1 species